CGCUGAAACAUUUCUUUUUCUUAUUCCAAGUGGCUUGCUCCCAUUGUCAUUUUCCUUGCUUUAGCCCUUUAUAUAUACAGAAGAGUGAAUACAUAAUCCUCACAUUCGUCAGAUUAAUUAAUUUUUUGAACAAAAAAACCUUCAUACACAUUUCUUCUUUCUAAUAUUUUUGAGCUCUUUAAUCAAUUGCGUGGAAAUGCCUCCGAAAAAUCCACACCACGAAGGAAACAACAACAUAGAGCUUGACCAGGUUCGUUAUGAUCUUCAUCUUCUUCUUUGAAUGCUCUAAUUUUUUCCCUUUUCUAUCGCAAAUUCAUUCAUUAACGCCAACUCCAAAUAUGUUGUGAACAAGACUUGAUUUUUUCUUUGUUUGCUUCCAUUCAUGAUGAUGAAUUAGAUUAAAUGAGAUAUAUAGACUGUACUACAUCAAAGUAAUUUCGUGUGUACAGAACAAAAGGGAGAUUGAAAUUCAACCACAAGAUCUCAACAUUAUUUGGGGCGAAGACAAUCGCUACUGGAACAUAAAGCCGUGAGUUAGAGACNUUUAUCCAUUUU
rnacentral:lncRNA from 1 species